UACACGGAGAGUUUGAUCCUGGCUCAGAAUGAACGCUGGCGGCGUGCUUAACACAUGCAAGUCGUACGAUAAGGAAGCCUUCGGGCUUCUGGACAGUGGCGCACGGGUGAGUAACGCGUGGGUAACCUACCCUUAUGGUUUGGAAUAACGCCUCGAAAGGGGUGCUAAUACCAGAUAAGACC
rnacentral:rRNA from 1 species